rnacentral:rRNA from 1 species
ACACAUGCAGUCGAGCGGAACGAUGGGAGCUUGCUCCCAGGCGUCGAGCGGCGGACGGGUGAGUAACACGUGGGAAUCUGCCCAUUAGUGGGGGAUAACUCGGGGAAACUCGAGCUAAUACCGCAUAAUCCCUACGGGGGAAAGCAGGGGAUCUUCGGACCUUGCGCUGAUGGAUGAGCCCGCGUCGGAUUAGCUUGUUGGUGGGGUAAUGGCCCACCAAGGCGACGAUCCGUAACUGGUCUGAGAGGAUGGCCAGUCACACCGGGACUGAGACACGGCCCGGACUCCUACGGGAGGCAGCAGUGGGGAAUCUUGGACAAUGGGCGCAAGCCUGAUCCAGCCAUGCCGCGUGUGUGAAGAAGGCCUUCGGGUUGUAAAGCACUUUCAGUAGGGAGGAAGGCUUUGGGCUAAUACCCUGGAGUACUUGACGUUACCUACAGAAGAAGCACCGGCUAAUUUCGUGCCAGCAGCCGCGGUAAUACGAAAGGUGCGAGCGUUAAUCGGAAUUACUGGGCGUAAAGCGCGCGUAGGCGGUGUGUUAAGUCGGAUGUGAAAGCCCAGGGCUCAACCUUGGAAUUGCAUCCGAUACUGGCACGCUAGAGUGCAGUAGAGGGAGGUGGAAUUUCCGGUGUAGCGGUGAAAUGCGUAGAGAUCGGAAGGAACACCAGUGGCGAAGGCGGCCUCCUGGACUGACACUGACGCUGAGGUGCGAAAGCGUGGGGGAGCAAACAGGAUUAGAUACCCUGGUAGUCCACGCCGUAAACGAUGUCUACUAGCCGUUGGGGUCCUUAGUGACUUUG